UGGGGCAUAUUGCACAAUGGGCGGAUGCCUGAUGCAGCGACGCCGCGUGAGGGAUGACGGCCUUCGGGUUGUAAACCUCUUUCAGUAGGGACGAAGCGUAAGUGACGGUACCUGCGGAAGAAGCACCGGCUAACUACGUGCCAGCAGCCGCGGUAAUACGUAGGGUGCGAGCGUUGUCCGGAAUUACUGGACGUAAAGUGCUCGUAGGCGGUUUGUCACGUCGUCUGUGAAAUCCUAGGGCUUAACCCUGGACGUGCAGGCGAUACGGGCUGACUUGAGUACUACAGGGGAGACUGGAAUUUCUGGUGUAGCGGUGGAAUGCACAGAUAUCAGGAAGAACACCGAUGGCGAAGGCAGGUCUCUGGGUAGUAACUGACGCUAAGGAGCGAAAGCAUGGGUAGCGAACAGG
rnacentral:rRNA from 1 species